rnacentral:rRNA from 1 species
UAAUACGAAGGGUGCAAGCGUUAAUCGGAAUUACUGGGCGUAAAGCGCGCGUAGGCGGUUUGGUUAGUUGGAUGUGAAAGCCCCGGGCUCAACCUGGGAACUGCAUCCAAUACUGCCAAGCUAGAGUACGGUAGAGGGGGGUAGAAUUCCACGUGUAGCGGUGAAAUGCGUAGAGAUGUGGAGGAAUACCAGUGGCGAAGGCGGCCCCCUGGAUCGAUACUGACGCUGAGGUGCGAAAGCGUGGGGAGCAAACAGG